UAGGGAAUCUUCCGCAAUGGACGCAAGUCUGACGGAGCAACGCCGCGUGAGUGAAGAAGGUUUUCGGAUCGUAAAACCCUGUUGUUAGAGAAGAACAAGUGCUAGAGUAACUGUUAGCGCCUUGACGGUAUCUAACCAGAAAGCCACGGCUAACUACGUGCCAGCAGCCGCGGUAAUACGUAGGUGGCAAGCGUUGUCCGGAUUUAUUGGGCGUAAAGCGAGCGCAGGCGGUUCCUUAAGUCUGAUGUGAAAGCCCCCGGCUCAACCGGGGAGGGUCAUUGGAAACUGGGGAACUUGAGUGCAGAAGAGGAGAGUGGAAUUCCAUGUGUAGCGGUGAAAUGCGUAGAUAUAUGGAGGAACACCAGUGGCGAAGGCGACUCUCUGGUCUGUAACUGACGCUGAGGCUCGAAAGCGUGGGUAGCAAACAGGAUUAGAUACCCUGGUAGUCCACGCCGUAAACGAUGAGUGCUAAGUGUUGGAGGGUUUCCGCCCUUCAGUGCUGCAGUUAACGCAUUAAGCACUCCGCCUGGGGAGUACGACCGCAAGGUUG
rnacentral:rRNA from 1 species